rnacentral:rRNA from 1 species
AACGAACGCUGGCGGCAUGCCUAACACAUGCAAGUCGAACGAGACCUUCGGGUCUAUUGGCGCACGGGUGCGUAACGCGUGGGAACCUGCCCUUAGGUUCGGAAUAACUCCCCGAAAGGGGUGCUAAUACCGGAUAAUGUCUUCGGACCAAAGAUUUAUCGCCUUUGGAUGGGCCCGCGUUGGAUUAGCUAGUUGGUAGGGUAAAAGCCUACCAAGGCGACGAUCCAUAGCUGGUAUGAGAGGAUGAUCAGCCACACUGGGACUGAGACACGGCCCAGACUCCUACGGGAGGGAGGAGAGGGUAAUAUUGGACAAGGGGCGAAAGCCUGAUCCAGCAAUGCCGGGUGAGUGAUGAAGGCCUUAGGGUUGUAAAGCUCUUUUACCCGGGAUGAUAAUGACAGUACCGGGAGAAUAAGCUCCGGCUAACUACGUG